AGUGAACGCUGGCGGUAGGCCUAACACAUGCAAGUCGAACGGCAGCACGGUAAGAGCUUGCUCUUACGGGUGGCGAGUGGCGGACGGGUGAGGAAUACAUCGGAAUCUACUUUUUCGUGGGGGAUAACGUAGGGAAACUUACGCUAAUACCGCAUACGACCUACGGGUGAAAGCAGGGGAUCUUCGGACCUUGCGCGAUUGAAUGAGCCGAUGUCGGAUUAGCUAGUUGGCGGGGUAAAGGCCCACCAAGGCGACGAUCCGUAGCUGGUCUGAGAGGAUGAUCAGCCACACUGGAACUGAGACACGGUCCAGACUCCUACGGGAGGCAGCAGUGGGGAAUAUUGGACAAUGGGCGCAAGCCUGAUCCAGCCAUACCGCGUGGGUGAAGAAGGCCUUCGGGUUGUAAAGCCCUUUUGUUGGGAAAGAAAAGCAGCAGGUUAAUACCCCGCUGUCCUGACGGUACCCAAAGAAUAAGCACCGGCUAACUUCGUG
rnacentral:rRNA from 1 species